GACGAACGCUGGCGGCGUGCUUAACACAUGCAAGUCGAACGGAAAGGCCCUGCUUUUGCGGGGUGCUCGAGUGGCGAACGGGUGAGUAACACGUGAGUAACCUGCCCUUGACUUUGGGAUAACUUCAGGAAACUGGAGCUAAUACCGGAUAGGAGCUCCUGCUGCAUGGUGGGGGUUGGAAAGUUUCGGCGGUUGGGGAUGGACUCGCGGCUUAUCAGCUUGUUGGUGGGGUAGUGGCUUACCAAGGCUUUGACGGGUAGCCGGCCUGAGAGGGUGACCGGCCACAUUGGGACUGAGAUACGGCCCAGACUCCUACGGGAGGCAGCAGUGGGGAAUAUUGCACAAUGGGCGGAAGCCUGAUGCAGCAACGCCGCGUGCGGGAUGACGGCCUUCGGGUUGUAAACCGCUUUCGCCUGUGACGAAGCGUGAGUGACGGUAAUGGGUAAAGAAGCACCGGCUAACUACGUG
rnacentral:rRNA from 1 species